rnacentral:rRNA from 1 species
UACUAAUACCGGAUAUUCUUGCUUUAUAUAAGUUUUGCAAGCAAAGGUGGCCUCUGACAUAAGCUACUGCAUAAAGAGGGGUCUGCGUACCAUUAGCUAGUAGGUGGGGUAAUGGCCUACCUAGGCUACGAUGGUUAGCGGGUCUGAGAGGAUGAUCCGCCACACUGGCACUGGAACACGGGCCAGACUCCUACGGGAGGCAGCAGUGAGGAAUAUUGCGCAAUGGGGGCAACCCUGACGCAGCGACGCCGCGUGAGUGAGGAAGGCCUUCGGGUCGUAAAGCUCUGUCAAAGGGAAAGAAAUGUAUAAUGGCUAAUACCUGUUAUAUUUGACGGUACCCUUAAAGGAAGCACCGGCUAACUCCGUGCCAGCAGCCGCGGUAAUACGGAGGGUGCAAGCGUUGUUCGGAAUUACUGGGCGUAAAGGGCGCGUAGGCGGUUUGAUAAGUCAGAUGUGAAAGCCCACGGCUUAACUGUGGAAGUGCAUUUGAUACUGUCAGACUUGAGUACCAGAGGGGAAAGUGGAAUUCCCGGUGUAGAGGUGAAAUUCGUAGAUAUCGGGAGGAAUACCGGUGGCGAAGGCGACUUUCUGGCUGGAUACUGACGCUGAGGCGCGAAAGCGUGGGGA